UACGUAGGGUGCGAGCGUUGUCCGGAAUUACUGGGCGUAAAGAGCUCGUAGGCGGUUUGUCGCGUCUGCUGUGAAAACUCGAGGCUCAACCUCGGGCUUGCAGUGGGUACGGGCAGACUAGAGUGCGGUAGGGGUGACUGGAAUUCCUGGUGUAGCGGUGGAAUGCGCAGAUAUCAGGAGGAACACCUAUGGCGAAGGCAGGUCACUGGGCCGCAACUGACGCUGAGGAGCGAAAGCAUGGGGAGCGAACAGG
rnacentral:rRNA from 1 species